rnacentral:rRNA from 1 species
CCCUUAGAUGUCCUGGGCCGCACGCGCGCUACACUGAACGGAUCAGCGCGUUUUCCCUUCCCGAGAGGGACGGGUAACCUGCUGAACCCCGUUCGUGGUAGGGAUCGGGGCUUGCAAUUAUUCCCCGUGAACCAGGAAUGCCCAGUAAGUGCAAGUCAUAAGCUUGCAUUGAUUACGUCCCUGCCCUUUGUACACACCGCCCGUCGCUACUACCGAUUGAACGUUUUAGUGAGGUACUCGGACUGAGCCUCAGAAGAUUCACGUCUUUUGUGCUGCUCGGGAAGAUUCCCAAACUUGAGCGUUUAGAGGAAGUAAAAGUCGUAACA